GACGAACGCUGGCGGCGUGCCUAAUACAUGCAAGUAGAACGCAGUUUCGAACGGGUGAGUAACGCGUAGGUCACUGCCUCAUAGCGGGGGAUAACUCUUGGAAACGAUAGCUAAUACCGCCUACUGUGAGAUGGACCUGCGUGGUAUUAGUUAGUUGGUGAGGUAAAGGGUCACCAAGGCGACGAUACAUAGCCGACCUGAGAGGGUGAUCUGCCACCACGGGACUGGGAAACGGCCCCGCACCCGUCUGGAGGGAGCAGUAGGGAAUCUUCGGAAAUGGACGGAAGGCUGACCGAAGAAAGCCGCGGGAUUGAAGAAGGUUUUCGGAUCGUAAAGCUCUGUUGUUAGAGGAGCGGUACCUAACCAGAAAGGGACGGCUAACUACGUGCCAGCAGCCGCGGUAAUAC
rnacentral:rRNA from 1 species